UACAGAGGUCCCAAGCGUUUGUUCGGAUUCACUGGGCGUAAAGGGUGCGUAGGUGGCCAGGUAAGUUUGGUGUGAAAGCUCGGAGCUUAACUCCGAAAAGUCAUUGAAUACUAUCUGGCUGGAGGGUCGGAGGGGAGACUGGAAUUCUCGGUGUAGCAGUGAAAUGCGUAGAUAUCGAGAGGAACACCAGUGGCGAAGGCGAGUCUCUGGACGACUCCUGACACUGAGGCACGAAAGC
rnacentral:rRNA from 1 species